AUAAUUAAAGGGCUGCAGUAUUUUGACUGUACAAAGGUAGCAUAAUCAUUAGUCUCUUAAUUGGUGACUUGUAUGAAGGAUUUGAUGAAAUAUAAACUGUCUCUUAUUAAUUUAUAAAAUUUAAUUUUUUAGUAAAAAAGCUAAAAUAAUUUUAAAAGACGAGAAGACCCUAUAGAGUUUUAUAAUAAAUUUAAUUAUAUUUUUUAUAUAAAUAUUUUAUUUUUAAUAAAAUUUAUUAUUUUAUUGGGGUGAUAGAAAAAUUUAAUAAACUUUUUUUAAAAAUAAAACAUAAAUAAGUGAAUGUAUGAUCCGUUAUUAACGAUUAUAAGAAUAAAUUACCUUAGGGAUAACAGCGUAAUUUUUUUUUUUAGUUCAAAUAAAAAAAAAAGUUUGCGACCUCGAGGUUGGAUUAAAAUAAACUUUAAAUGCAAAAGUUUAAAAUUUG
rnacentral:rRNA from 1 species